rnacentral:rRNA from 1 species
GACGAACGCUGGCGGCGUGCCUAAUACAUGCAAGUAGAACGCUGAAGGAGGAGCUUGCUCUUCUGGAUGAGUUGCGAACGGGUGAGUAACGCGUAGGUAACCUGCCUGGUAGUGGGGGAUAACUAUUGGAAACGAUAGCUAAUACCGCAUAAUAACAGUUGUUGCAUGACAACUGUUUGAAAGGUGCAAUUGCAUCACUACCAGAUGGACCUGCGUUGUAUUAGCUAGUUGGUGGGGUAACGGCUCACCAAGGCGACGAUACAUAGCCGACCUGAGAGGGUGAUCGGCCACACUGGGACUGAGACACGGCCCAGACUCCUACGGAAGGCAGCAGUAGGGAAUCUUCGGCAAUGGACGAAAGUCUGACCGAGCAACGCCGCGUGAGUGAAGAAGGUUUUCGGAUCGUAAAGCUCUGUUGUAAGAGAAGAACGAGUGUGAGAGUGGAAAGUUCACA